GCCAGACUCCUACGGGAGGCAGCAGUGGGGGAUAUUGCACAAUGGGGGGAACCCUGAUGCAGCGACGCCGCGUGGGUGAAGGAGCGUUUCGGCGCGUAAAGCCCUAUCGGCAGGGAAGAAGGAGGACGGUACCUGACUAAGAAGCCCCGGCUAACUACGUGCCAGCAGCCGCGGUAAUACGUAGGGGGCAAGCGUUAUCCGGAUUUACUGGGUGUAAAGGGGGCGCAGACGGCAGCGCAAGCCAGGAGUGAAAGCCCCGGGCCCAACCCCGGGACUGCUCUUGGAACUGCGCGGCUGGAGUGCAGGAGGGGCAGGCGGAAUUCCUGGUGUAGCGGUGAAAUGCGUAGAUAUCAGGAGGAACACCGGUGGCGAAGGCGGCCUGCUGGACUGCGACUGACGUUGAGGCCCGAAAGCGUGGGGAGCAAACAGGAUUAGAUACCCCAGUA
rnacentral:rRNA from 1 species